CCUACGGGGGGCAGCAGUGGGGAAUAUUGGACAAUGGGGGGAACCCUGAUCCAGCCAUGCCGCGUGUGUGAAGAAGGCCCUCGGGUGGUAAAGCACUUUCAGUGAGGAAGAACGCCUGGUGGUUAAUACCCAUCAGGAAAGACAUCACUCACAGAAGAAGCACCGGCUAACUCCGUGCCAGCAGCCGCGGUAAUACGGAGGGUGCGAGCGUUAAUCGGAAUUACUGGGCGUAAAGCGCGCGUAGGUGGCUUGAUAAGCCGGUUGUGAAAGCCCCGGGCUCAACCUGGGAACGGCAUCCGGAACUGUCAAGCUAGAGUGCAGGAGAGGAAGGUAGAAUUCCCGGUGUAGCGGUGAAAUGCGUAGAGAUCGGGAGGAAUACCAGUGGCGAAGGCGGCCUUCUGGACUGACACUGACACUGAGGUGCGAAAGCGUGGGUAGCAAACAGGAUUAGAUACCCCAGUAGUC
rnacentral:rRNA from 1 species